rnacentral:lncRNA from 1 species
ACUAUUAUGUUAUAUGAAUAUAUGCAUAUGAUUGUUUACCAUCAAGGGAUUCUUGGGAUUAGGAUUUGAUAGUUAAGAGUAUCAUUAUACAAAAUUUUGAAAUCCAUAUUGCUUCUGUUGUGCUCAUUGAAUCCUACAGUGGUAUCAAAGUAGACCUUGUUUCGUUCAAUCAUAUGCUUAUGUACUGAUAGCAUUGAAUUGAUGCAUGCUAUGAUUUAUGCUAUGUCCAUAAUCAUGUUAUGAUUAUGUAUUC